AUGGGUGGUAUUAUUGCUAAACGGUUAAGUCUGAACCGUACAAAGGGCCCCAUUUUUGGAGGUAUUUACGCUUCACGCCUUGCUGCACACUAUAACAUACCUAUUAGGCACUAUGAAAAAGAAGAAAAAUUGCUGCCCACUGUUUAUCUAGAUUAUAAGAGUAUGGUAGCGCAUGACUUUAUUGUUAAGAAUAGGGAAGGGGCGCUUAAAUACAAAUUGUUUUUUGAUAAACAUCACCCUGAGACUAUUACCUUGCCUGCUCCUUCCUUGUUUGAUUUAUCUGCAGGUCCGUAUCUCAUUCCACUGGCGGCCAUUCAUGCCUACCUGAACCCCACAUCAGCCACAGAGCCAGAGCCGGAACCACAAUUUGAACCUCCACGAUAG
rnacentral:rRNA from 1 species